ACUUGCACUCAGUGCGCACAGGGAGAAGCGCGAGCAACGACGACGUCCACACGUCAUCCAAAAACAUAGCAGACAUUGGAUGAAUUUAAAAUAUCUUCAGCUGUGAGUGAUGAAGAAAAACAAAUCGGCCUCGGGGACAAUUAUUUGAAUAGUUCAAUUGAUAUUUUACGCACAAAAGUGAUGACCAAAAUGUCUUAUUAGGAAUUUCCAAAUCUGCCUUCUCCAUGUGGCCUUGUAUGGAAAUUGUAUUUUUGGACCGGGCGUCAGAUAAACUGCAGUACCGAUGCAAAACUAUAGGACCGGAACCCUGGCCCCUUACCAUAGGAAUGCAAGACAGGGGAAAACAACAGCAAGCCCAAAAUUCUCCGCUGGAGUCCUGUUUUGCACCGGGGGGAGAGCUGUGAAGGCAUCUGUUAUGGGAUCUUCUAGCUUGGAUGGAAGAUUGGAGGAGGGAACAAAUGGGAGUACAGUAGUUAUCCAGCCUGCUGACUAAGAAAUUUCUUGAAACAUGUCAAUGACCUCUAUAGCAAGUACUUGGCCAAGUUACCAGUGACCUAUUCCGCCACAUCGCAGGGAAAGGAGAGAGCAGAACCACCCCUCCUUAAAUCCAGAGUCAUUGACUAAGUUUAGUGUGCAAAAGUUGUGUGUUUUUUUCUCCAUUUGAUCCUCUUAUCUUCAAUGUGUAUUGAAUCCUUCUAACCAGCUUUGUGAGAGCUAGGUUUGUACAGCUAUGCUGAUGAUCAUUAAUGUUUUUUCUCUGCAUCAGGUCUCACUGAGACUGGAUUCCUCAAGAUACAUGAUAUUCAGCUUCCCAUGAUUGCCUGAUCUUACACUCUUAGCCCCUUUCUUGCUAUCUAGAACCUAAAAAGCUUCAUCCGCUGUCCGCAUAGGAGAACCUUUUUUGGUUCCGGGUAGAACUAUGGGGACAGCCGAAGAACCAUUUCUUCUAAGAGUGUAGUGUAACUAGAUCCAAUUGAAACAGCACCACUUUAAAUAAUAUAUCCUCUUUCUUAAAAUGUUUGAGAUUGAUGACCAAUUAGUUAAUGUCCCACUGUAAUAUAAGGGACAGAGGCGCAAACAUGCCUUUGCUACCACUCGUGUGCUCCGUUGUAGUUGGUAAGGAAAUCUGAGCAGUUGAGACAUAGCCAAUGACAAUGACACAUUAAGUAGAUUCUGACCGUCAAAUAUAUGUUACUGUUCUGUCGUGUCCUGCAUGCCCACAUUAUGCCAACUGUUAAUUUAGUUUCUUCUCUUUUUAAUGUUUCCAGUAUCAACUAAGGUUGAUCAAAAAAGAGAAAUAUCACAGUCAAAGCAACUAGAACAUUUCUGUAACCGUGACAGAGUUUUGUUGUAGUUAAACAGGCUACUUGCAAUUUUAUUGUAGUAUUACAAAAUACAUGAAUUGAACUUCAGGCCAAUGAAAUGCAAAUGACAAAAUAGGGUAUUGAAACUAUUGAAAUACCUUCAUCAAAUACAUCCCAGUGGGCAAAACCUGGUUGAAAAGACAUCAGCAUGACUUCUUAUUCUGGUCACAAACUAGUUGAAAAAUGACUUUUUUAUUUUAUCUGCAACAUAACAACAUGUUGUUGUUGAUAAGGACACAUUGGUCUUCAAGGCAUUUUGUGUUUGUAACAAGAUACCUUUUGAUGCAUCUCUGCCCAUCUCUUGCUAGUGCAAAGUAUGUUACUGCACUAUUCACAGUAAUUUACCACCAGCUUGCUGUUACUGUAAUACCAGAGCAAAGAUACAGUACAAUACCGCAAAAUGUGCCUACUAUACUGUAAGAAAGUAAAUGCUACUGUAAUCCUAAUAUUGAUAUUUUACUUGAAUACAUGGGAUUGGUGCAAGCAGGUUGGCUGCUAGGUAUUUGUAUAUUACAGCAUAUUUAUAUCAAUUGUACUGCUACAGGCCUAAACAAAGGCUUCCAAACUGGCAAAACACACCAAAUGGCAAAAUACUCAACCAGUAAAGAUUUAAGACUUGCUGCCACAGUGAUCUGUCCCCUAUUCAAAUUAACCUGUUAAGGCACUACUAUCGCAUAUCAGUUCAAUUGGUACAGCA